rnacentral:rRNA from 1 species
GACGAACGCUGGCGGCGUGCUUAACACAUGCAAGUCGAACGAUGAAGCGGUGCUUGCACCGUGGAUUAGUGGCGAACGGGUGAGUAAUACGUGAGUGACCUACCUUUGACUCUGGGAUAAGCCUGGGAAACUGGGUCUAAUACCGGAUACGACCAAUCUCUGCAUGGGGUGUUGGUGGAAAGCGUUAUGGAGUGGUUUUAGAUGGGCUCACGGCCUAUCAGCUUGUUGGUGAGGUAAUGGCUUACCAAGGCGACGACGGGUAGCCGGCCUGAGAGGGUGACCGGCCACACUGGGACUGAGACACGGCCCAGACUCCUACGGGAGGCAGCAGUGGGGAAUAUUGCACAAUGGGCGCAAGCCUGAUGCAGCGACGCCGCGUGAGGGAUGACGGCCUUCGGGUUGUAAACCUCUGUUAGCAUCGAAGAAGCGAAAGUGACGGUAGGUGCAGAGAAAGCGCCGGCUAACUACGUGCCAGCAGCCGCGGUAAUACGUAGGGCGCGAGCGUUGUCCGGAUUAUUGGGCGUAAAGAGCUUGUAGGCGGUUGGUCGCGUCUGCUGUGAAAGGCCGGGGCUUAACUCCGGUUUUGCAGUGGGUACGGGCUGACUAGAGUGCAGUAGGGGAGACUGGAAUUCCUGGUGUAGCGGUGGAAUGCACAGAUAUCAGGAGGAACACCGAUGGCGAAGGCAGGUCUCUGGGCUGUAACUGACGCUGAGAAGCGAAAGCAUGGGGAGCGAACAGGAUUAGAUACCCUGGUAGUCCAUGCCGUAAACGUUGGGCACUAGGUGUGGGGGACAUUCCACGUUUUCCGCGCCGUAGCUAACGCAUUAAGUGCCCCGCCUGGGGAGUACGGCCGCAAGGCUAAAACUCAAAGGAAUUGACGGGGGCCCGCACAAGCGGCGGAGCAUGCGGAUUAAUUCGAUGCAACGCGAAGAACCUUACCAAGGCUUGACAUGCAUUAGAUCGCGUCAGAGAUGGCGUUUCCCUUCGGGGCUGGUGUACAGGUGGUGCAUGGUUGUCGUCAGCUCGUGUCGUGAGAUGUUGGGUUAAGUCCCGCAACGAGCGCAACCCUCGUUCUAUGUUGCCAGCGGUUCGGCCGGGGACUCAUAGGAGACUGCCGGGGUCAACUCGGAGGAAGGUGGGGAUGACGUCAAAUCAUCAUGCCCCUUAUGUCUUGGGCUUCACGCAUGCUACAAUGGCCGGUACAGAGGGUUGCGAUACUGUGAGGUGGAGCUAAUCCCUUAAAGCCGGUCUCAGUUCGGAUUGGGGUCUGCAACUCGACCCCAUGAAGUCGGAGUCGCUAGUAAUCGCAGAUCAGCAACGCUGCGGUGAAUACGUUCCCGGGCCU